rnacentral:rRNA from 1 species
GACGAACGCUGGCGGCGUGCUUAACACAUGCAAGUCGAACGGAAAGGCCCUGCUUUUGUGGGGUGCUCGUGUGGCGCACGGGUGUGUGACACGUGUGUAACCUGCCCUUGUCUUUGGGAUAAAUUCAGGAAAAUGGGGAUCAUAUCGGAUAGGAGCUACUGCUGCAUGGUGGGGGUUGGAAAGUUUCGGUGGUGGUGGAUGGACUCGCGGCUUAUCAGCUUGUUGGUGGGGUAGUUGCUUUCCAAGGCUUUGACGGGUAGCCGGCCUGAGAGGGUGACCGGCCACAAUGGGACUGAGGUACGGCCCAGACUCCAACGGGACGCAGCAGUCGGGAAUAUUGCACAAUGGGCGGAAGCCUGAGGCAGCAACGCCGCGAGCGGGAAGACGGCCUACGGGGUGUAAACCACUGUCGCCUGUGACGAAGCGUGAGUGACGGUAAUGAGUGAAGAAGCACCGGCUAACUACGUG